AUUGAGUUUGAUCCUGGCUCAGGACGAACGCUGGCGGCGUGCCUAAUACAUGCAAGUCGAGCGGACUUUUUAAAAGCUUGCUUUUAAAAAGUUAGCGGCGGACGGGUGAGUAACACGUGGGCAACCUGCCUUACAGACUGGGAUAACUCCGGGAAACCGGAGCUAAUACCGGAUGACCAAUUGGACCGCAUGGUCCGAUUGUAAAAGUUGGGAGCAAUCCUAACACUGUGAGAUGGGCCCGCGGCGCAUUAGCUAGUUGGUGGGGUAACGGCCUACCAAGGCGACGAUGCGUAGCCGACCUGAGAGGGUGAUCGGCCACACUGGAACUGAGACACGGUCCAGACUCCUACGGGAGGCAGCAGUAGGGAAUCAUCCGCAAUGGGCGAAAGCCUGACGGUGCAACGCCGCGUGAACGAUGAAGGUCUUCGGAUUGUAAAGUUCUGUUGUUAGGGAAGAACAAGUACCGUUCGAAUAGGGCGGUACCUUGACGGUACCUGACCAGAAAGCCCCGGCUAACUACGUGCCAGCAGCCGCGGUAAAAU
rnacentral:rRNA from 1 species